rnacentral:lncRNA from 1 species
UAUCAUAGGAGUAGCAUUGCAAUAAGCAGCUAACACCCUUAAUGCUACAGAAACCAAGGAAAGAGGUUGGAAUUAUUAAAACUUAAAAGUUUAGAGAAAACUCCAUGUAGAGCUAAAAUCUAGACUUCUGAGGAAUAGGCGCUGAGGGGGCCGCAGUCAGUUGCUGCUGGUGUCUCUGAGGGUAUUGGAGGCAAAUUAAGUUCAUUCUGCUACUGCUGGGAAGUCUGCAAACUAGAUUCAGCUGCUUCUACAAGCAGGCACUGCUGCUGCCAGGGUGAAGAAGCAUUGUUGGGGUGAUGCUCACAGGAACCACAAGGAGACAGGAAGCAGACAGGAAGUGGGGAGACACUUGGACAAUAAGCAACCAUCAUCUGGGUGUGGCUCCGUUUGGUGCUUGACGACUCACUCGUCUCCCUCUGCUGGCCGAAUGAAGCAACGCGUCACCAUGUCCGAAGGCCUUUAGAGCAUGUCUCAAUUAUACGUGGAAGCACGAAAACCAGGCUGCUUUCCUAAGAAGCGUCCUCAAUACCUUGUUUCUUCUGCAUUUUAUUUGCUUUACCCAUGUACAUAGUACAGGGCUGUUUGACUGAAAGAGGAUCACAGAUGUUUUGCUUCUAUAGUAUUACAAGGGGUUAAUUAGAAAUUAACGAUUUAAAAUUGGCCCCCAAAUCUGAAAGCAGAACCAAAAAGGUGGCUGUUUCUCCUAGGUUAAAAGCCAGAGUUAAAUUGCUCAUUUAAGUGUUUAGUUUCAGUAGAGCAUAAAGCCCUGGAAAAAAGCCAAUUAUAACAGUAGAUCUGAAAAAAGCUAUUUUUAUUCUCAAGAGGGGAAAGGCUGGCCUUGCCUAAGUGAGUCCGUAAUCUGAGAAAGACGGGGGUUUGGGCUAAGAUAAUCUUUGAAAGGUUCGUAAAAAACGUGAAGCCAUUGAUUGAAUUCGUUUUCAUGAGAUUUAAAAAUCUUCAGUAAUUACUGUGGGAAGAAAAAGCGGUGUCUGCUCUUUUGAGGUCAAGUAACCCAGACCGCCUUCUCGUGGUUAGAUCAGCUCUCACUGUGGGGUCUUCACACCUACCACUUCACAUGCUGAAAAUGCUGCUCCCUCUCCCAGCUCCUCCUACUCCUUGGUCAGACCUCCCCUUACCUAUCACCGCCUCAGAGAAGCCUUCCUGAACACUUGGUCGGAAGUAGAUUCUUUACGCUGUAUCUUCUCCAGGGCAUCCUCUUUUUCUGUUGCAGUACCACGAUAACUCACAAUUAUAUAUAUAUAUGUGUGUUUUCUUGUAUAUUCUCUUUCACCCUCACGAGCUUUCUAAAUCCCCUAAGGGUCAUAGGCUGUCUGAUCAGAACUGUAUAACCAGUUUUUGGAAUAGUACUUGGCAAAAAGUAAACAAGGAAUAAAUGUUGAACAGAUAAGUUAAAUUCAGAUACUGUAUCUCGAUCCCCAGUUUACUACUUUCUGGAUUCUUCUUUCAUAUCUUGUAGCUUUUUCAAGACUUAGUCUGUGUUCUUUUUCUCUUGUGAACUCUCAGUAACAGCUGAUUUGUUUUAGGAUUCCUCUUCCCAUAAUGCGAGAGCCACUGAGUGUAAUGGAAUCUUCACGGUUCCUCGAGUUUUAUCCCCCUAAAAAAAGAGAAAUAGACUAAUCCUGUAAUUCUUACAGUCUGUGUUUUCUCAUCUGUUGUACUUGAUUUUAUUCUGAGAUGGGGUCCCCCUGGGCUUUGACUUCUGAGUCUGGAGUUGUCCACAUGGUGCUCCCUCCCCUCCCACCAAAACCUUCCCUCCAACUGGGGAAAGGUGUACGAUUCCCUCUUCAGAAAAGUCUCUUCCUCCUGUCCAGAGACAGACUCCUCCAAGCAGAGGUUUAAAUUCCCUGGAAUUUCAAGUAGGCGAUUUGCAUUUCUGAGAACCUUUAGACUAGAUGUCAGUCAUUUCUUUGGACUUCAAGCCCAACACAAGAGUAAUCCCUCGGGGGCAUUUCUUUACCUAGGCAAAAUAGCUGUUAUUACUCUGUCCCGAGAGUUGUGCUAGGGUUUGGAGGACUUUUGUGACAUGUGGCUUUAUUCUGUAUUCAUUGAAAGAUUUUGAUUGACUGAUGGUUAUGUAACUGUUAGAAUUGCCCUAGCUGCCUACAAAAUGCUGUGACUUUCUCUCCUUUUAACUGGUAUUGGGUAAUAGUUAAGAGACUAAACAUGAAGGUCAGAAAAACUCAAAGCUCUAAGGUCUUGGUUUUCUCACCCAUUUUGUUUUUCCUCUACAAAAAGGGGCUGUCACUUUACAGACUUGUAAUAAUCGUUAUAUAGCAUCUAUAGAGCAACUACAAUAUGCUAGGCACCCUUUGGGAUAGGUACGAUUGUCCUUGUUUUACUGUGGAGGACAUGGAGGCACAGAGAGGUUAGAUAUUCUGGAGAAAGAUUCAAAUCUGUGUGAACACAUCUGCUAAGUGAUCCACUAUUUUUUUGUGGCUUCUUGUGAUGGAGGGGUGAGCAUGAUUCAAGGUCUCCUCCUCCAGACUGCUGUGUGCUCUGAGAGGCAGAGGCUGGCCUAUAUGAACUGUACCAACAAGCUUCCUUGCUCUCUGGCUUCCUAUUGGAUCUGGCCAGGGGGGAGCAUCCAAAGGACAUCAGAGGGCAGGAAAAGACAUGGAGAGACCGUCUGCCUGUGACCAUCCUGGACAACGCCUGCUCGUCUCUUAGCAUCUCUGCUCAGUCCUGCUUCCUUGGUGAAGUCUUCCACAACUGCCAAGGUGGAGAGUUCGGAGCCUUGAUCCACGCUGAAUCAGUUUGACUUCUGGAGGGACCGGAGACUGAAUAAAGGCAGUCACGUGGGUGCUCUAUGCUGCUGUGACCAAUCUCUAAUAGAAACCAUGGACGCCAAGGCUGAGUUUCUUUCCAGGAACAGGCUGACCACAGGCGGGAAAUACACCUACAAGGUAUCCAUCACAGCUGACGGAAGAAUGGAACAAUAAAAGACCCUGGAUUCUGUCAUGCCUGAAGGCUUACUUUUCCAAACCUCCUCCUUACUCCCUAUUUUCCCUAUAUAACUACCUCAAGAUUCUGUAAUUGUUGAAGAUGGGUUUUUUGAAACUUUAGUCACCCAUCUUCUGAUUUUGCCUGCUAAUCCAGUUAAAGCUUCCUUUCUUGAUCCCUCACUUGUGGUGAUUUAUUGGCUCAGAUCCCGAUGAGCAGAGCCCAUUGCUCAGUAACACAUAUGACUCCAAUGGGAAAGGAAAACUAAAAGCUUAUUCCUGGUCUCCCCUGGACUCCACCCUGUGGACUUUCUACCUUUGCUCAUUUUCAUCUGUAGCCUUUCACUAUAAUAAACGGUAACCAUGAGUAUAACAUCUUUUCUGCUUUAUAUGAGUCCUUAUAGAGAAUCAUUGAAUCUGAGGGUGGUCUUGAGGACCCCUGUCACAGCUGCUUAGAAAAGGAAUGGACUUUGAGAUUAUUUGCAUGGGUUUAAGACUGCUGUGUGGAUCUUUUUUUUGUUUUUUGAGGAAGAUUAGCCCUGAGCUAACAUCUGCUGCCAAUCCUCCUCUUUUUGCUGAGGAAGACUGGUCCUGAGCUAACAUCCGUGCCCAUCUUCCUCUACUUUAUAUGUGGGACACCUACCACAGCAUGGCUUGCCAAGCAGUGCCAUGUCUGCACCCGGGAUCUGAACCGGCAAACCUCGGCCGCGGAAGCAGAACGUGCGAACUUAACCACUGCGCCACUACAAUGCCCCAGGUGCUGUGUGGAUCUUGAUCAAGUUAGUCCAUCAAAUUGCCCCUCUAUUUCUGCAUAAUUAAAACUAGCGUAAUAACAUCUAUGUUACAGUAUUGGUGUGCGUAUUAAAUGAGAUAAUGUAAGAAAUGUGCCUGGCAUGUGUUUAGUUAAAGGUAGCUAUUAUUAUCACGGUGGGGUAAGGGGUGUAGGAACACAAAGAUUGUUAAGACAUAUUCUCCACUGGCUAGUACUUUAGUCGGGGGGAAAUCUUUGUCAUGAGGACUGUGGGAAAAUUAGGUUAUUUCCCACUUGGUCCUCUCUGUGUAGGUGGAUACCUGGUUGAGUCAGCCGCACAAACUAUUCCUCCUACUCAUAGGCACUGCUGUCCUGGGGUAGAGAUGGGACAGGCAGAGAAGGAAAGGAUCUUCUGCCUGGGUCUAAAGCUAUGUCUGAGAUUCAUGCACAUGCACUUAGCCUGUAUGUGCCUCUUUUAUCACGUCCAUACUAGGAAAUGGACCCUCAACAGGGUACAAUUGGUCUUUUGUAACUCUUUAAUAUUCAAGACAGCCCGCAAAGUUCCUUUUAACCUUAUUUUGCUUGAAUAACAACACUGGAGGGUCAGGGGACACCAUGAGAUUGGCCUGUGCUUCUCCUCCUUUCCAGUCUCUCCCCUCCCACGCACACACUGGGCCAAGCCAAGCCCUUCCUAGGAAGUGGCACGGAGUCGUCUGUUUCCUCAAACCCCUGAUGUUAGGACAAUAAUCUCCAAACAUCUGGGUCAAGCCAGGUUAUUCUUCACGUAAGGAUUUCAAUUAAAACUAGAACACAAAUGCAAUCUCAAAUUUACCAUAAGUUGUAUUCUCUAAAUCAGUUGUUUCAAACUGAGAAUUCAUUUUCAUGAAAACCAUGUCAUAUAAUAGUAAUAAAAAAACCUUUGUUUUGUUAAUUUUGUGUUUGACAAAUAGUCUUUCACUAUUGCUGCUACAGCUGAACUUGGCUUUUAUGUACAACACUGUGUCCCCUGAUGUCGCUCUAGGACUCCCUUUCAUCUCCUGCUUCAUCUUUGGGGACACAGUAAGGAGACACCGUCCAAUUCGAACUUGCUAGUGGGAGCUCUCAUGCCUGUAGCAGGGCAGGGGGUGGGUGUGGGGAGAGCUCCAGGGGAUUAUAAUAGAGGAGCAUAUAUCUGUUAGGAUGCUGUCGGAAUUCCUAAGUAAUAAGAAAUUUCGUUAACUCACAUAGCAAUAAAUCUCGGGAAGGGCUAUUCCAGUGGCUUAACUGUUUUAACAAGGACCAAGAUGCUCAGUUUUUAUGCUCUGCUGCUCCGAGUAUUGACUUCAUUUCCAAGCUGGUAGCAAGACAAAGGAAAAAUUUCCCAGAAUUCCCACAGCAAACUUCCCCUCAAGUCUCAAUGACCAGAAUUUGGUCAUGAGUCCAUGUCUAAACCAAGCAGUAGCAAAGAACAUGGAAUUACCAUAAUUUAUAAUCUGAUAGAUAAUGGCUGCUGGGGAGUCAAUCCCAAUGUCCAUUUUAGGCCAGCUGCUGGUGUAAGCGGUGAUAAUGUCCCAUCUGAGACUUUCUCCUGAGGCCUCAGGAUUGGCCCACUUGCUUCCUCUUCUGAUGGUUUUACAUCUUUUACUUGCUCAGUACUGCACAGAAAUGUACAGAACCAAAACCAAAAGUCUAAAAGCUUUUCCCUACUUACCUGAUCCUGAGGCACUUCGGGGAUUUUUAAUUUUAAUUUUUCACUAUUUUUAUUUUGUUUUGAGGCUACUAACAAUGAAAAACAAAUAGUUAGUUAACCCCUUCUCCCCCCGCCCCACCCAUUUUCUCUUGUAUUCUCACUUCCUUCUUUUUACUUAAGUUGAGUAGGGGAGUUUUAUGGUGAAGCUUUGGGUAAAGAAAGGGCUGUGGUGAGGCUCAUUUGCAUUUAGAGGAGAGUCAGACCCAGGCAUUCCCCUGGGCAUUUCAGAGCCAGGCAUCCUGUAUGACUGUGGGGGGUAUUGUGAUAAGGAACUGUAACGGGGACUUAGUUCACGGUAGAUGUGGGUCAGGAGCAAGGAGGAAAGUAUUGGUCAUGUAUGCCACCUCCCUACUCUUUCCUGUUGUUCCCAUUAGUUUCUGAAUAGCGAAGCCUGCUCUGGGGCCGUGUAAGGAGCAGAGCGGAGUUUCAGCCUCACUGAGGUGGAGGUAAAAGGAAUAGGCAGGGAAUUCUCAAGCAAAGGAAGCUGAAAGGAAGGAGUUCCUGGGACAGAAGUCAGAGGCUGCUGGAUGAGAAGCCAAACUUCUUUUCAACAGGCUCCACUGAGGUCACUGGGAAACUGAAAAGCAACUUGCUUCUUCUUCAGAAUGAAGACGUGUACUGACCCAGUUUAAAGCCACCUACCCUGAUUUUUCCAUUCGUAUCCAGAUUCAUAUCCAUGUCAGUUCCCCACAAAUCCACACCCAUGCUCCCAGCACAAAGCAAUGCGAUCGCAUAUAUUUGCAAAUUCACACCUGCAGUAGAGCUCCCCUUCCAUUCACACCCUAUUAACCACAUAAAGUGCACAUUUUAUGGCCACAGAUGCUUAGAAAAGACAAAAUCCUUUAGUCUGUCUGGAUUCAAAAGUAAUCUGAAAAAUUAAUCUUUAGCCAAUACCUGGAAACAAUGUGGGAAAGUCCUCGCAUGUACACGAAGUCGUGGAUUAUUGAAGUUUUCACCCAGAAAGAAAGAGAAAAAACUUCUAAAUCUAAUGAUGUGUGACCUCGGAUGGGAAACCUAAUUUUAUAUGUUAAUAUUUUCAGUGUAAACAUACUGCUAAUUGUUUUGUUUUGUUUUGUUUUUUUGAGGAAGAUUAGCCCUGAACUAACAUCUGCUGCCAAUCCUCCUCUUUUUUGCUGAGGAAGACUGGCUCUGAGCUAACAUCUGUGCCCAUCUUCCUCUACUUUAUAUGUGUGGUGCCUACCACAGCAUGGCCUGACAAGCAGUGCAUAGGUCUGCACCUGGGAUCCGAACCGGCAAACCCCAGGCCGCCGAAGUAUAACGUGCGAACUUAACCGCUGUUCCACCGGGCCAGCCCCCAUACUGCUAAUUGUUGAACAGCUGUCUCUUUAAAGGAGAGAAAAAGCUGGGUUUAUGCUAACUGUUCCCUAAAAUCAAGAGUCCGGUCUACAUACAACCAACGAGAAGAAGGAGUGUGGUUAAGUGGAAAGAGGGAACCUAACUCACCAUCAGAAGAACUGAGGGUCAGUGAUACAAAACCUGGCUUUCCCUGUUAUUUAUUAUAAUUUUGGGCAAGAGCUUUUAAAAGUCCUGAAGAACACAUGUUCUGGAACAUCAAGUUUGUUUUCUGCAACAGAAGCUGAAACUGAAUUCUGUUGUGGAUGGGGAGAGAAGGUUACUUUGUAUUUCCCUGUUAGAGCUCUGUAGACCAUUGGAAAGUUAGCAGGGAGAAGAGAGGGGAAGGAGAGGGGAAAGAAACAGGUGUGGAAAGUGUAAUUUGAUUUUUUUCUGAGAUGUGUGGAUGGAGAGAGAGGAAGGGAAAGAAAGACAGUGCUGACAGGUAAUGGUGUAAUGCAGGAGUCUCCCUGCCUUUCCUGUCCCCACAGGGGAUUCUCUCUCAUAGCUACAGCCUUGACAGCAAAGCUACUCAACAUCCAUUCCCCCCUCUUCCUUCCUAACAGAUUCUUGAUUAUGCUCAGAUAACCAUCCUUUCCCUUUUCUAAUUUCAGGAGAAGACAACCACACCCUCACUUCUGGAGGUAGAUCGUCAUUAGUUUAAGCCAAUCAACAGAUGACAUUCCUCUGGCUACAAUUGGUCCAGGGGUAAGCAUGGUGACCUAAGUUUGCCCAAACAGAUUGAAGGGAGGGACUUAUAUUCCAUGCUUGGUGAGAAGUUAUCCUUUUCUAUUGCCAGACUUAAAAAGGAAGCCUAUACUCCCAAUUGCCCUUGGCAGUCAUCUUUCAACUACAAGGGGAACCAGCCAUAGGAUGAACCCUAUGCCAAGAGGAACAGACACCUGAGACCUUGAUUAUGUCGUUGAGCUCCACCUGGAGCCUACAUUAGGAGGACUUCCUGUUAUAUAGAGUGUUAUGGACUGAACUGUGUUCACUCCAAAUUUGUAGGUUGAAGUCCUGAUCCCUAGUACUUUAGAAUGUCACUGUAUUUGGAGAUAAUGAAGGUUAAAUGAAGUCCUAAGGGUGGGCCCUAAUCCAAUAUGACUUCUGUCCUUGUAAGAAGAAAGAGAGACACUAGGGAUACAUGAGCACAGAUGAAAGGCCACGUGAGGACGCAGCAAGAAGAUGACCAUCUGCAAGCCCAGGAGAGAGGCCUCAGGAGAAACCAGCCCUGCUGACACCUUGAUCUUGGACUUCCAGCCUCCAGAGCUGUCCUUUAAAAUCCUAGAGGAGCUGCUCUUAGAACUUAUUUGAAGCGAGUGGAUCCGAGAAGCCCAGGGAUGGACUGUGGACCACCCAGACCCCCAAAGGCAGGACGGAAGCUCCGAGUCCCCCAGCUGCUGAGAAUGGUGUCAGCCAACAGUUCUCUGCCGAGCCUUUCUCCAGGACCCGGCCUUGGUUGAAGAGUGCCGCCUUGCCGGAGGCCUCCCCGGUCCCAGGUGUAGCUCAUACCCAAUGUCUGGUUGUUGUGGGGAUAUAAAAUCCUGAUCCUCUUGCCCAGUUUGGAGUAACUCUGGAGUGUCAUCCUGUCCCUAGAGUUCCCUUUAGGAUUAGCUGAGGCCUUUGUUGUUACUGUGUCACUGUUCAACUUUUCUCUCUGCUCAGUUUUACUUCUUUUCCACCCCCAGAGGUUUUGUCGUUGAGAGUGCUCCGCACUAAACAUUCUGCACUCAAUCUCUGUCACAGUUUGCUUUUCAGGGAACUCAGCCAUCUGAAGGCAUCUUUCCAAACCCGGCCUAGUCCCCACGGAGCCCG